UGUCAUGGGAAAUAGUAAUUGGCCAAA
rnacentral:piRNA from 1 species